rnacentral:tRNA from 1 species
GGGCCAUGUAGACUAGUGUUCAAGGGCUCCGUGACAUCGGACUUUUAAUCCGCCGGUCGUCGGUUCGAGCCCGACGGGGCCCACCA